rnacentral:rRNA from 1 species
CCCUUAGACGUCCUGGGCCGCACGCGCGCUACAAUGACUCAUGCAACAAGUUCUUCCAAACUCGAAAGAGGUCAGGAAAUCUUUAUAAUGUGAGUCGUACUAGUAGGGAUUGAUCUUUGCAAUUCUGGAUCAUGAACGAGGAAUUCCUAGUAAGCAUAAGUCAUCAACUUGUGCUGAUUACGUCCCUGCCCUUUGUACACACCGCCCGUCGCUCCUACCGAUUGAGUGGUCCGGUGAGGCUUUGGGAUCUGAGCGGAAAGAGCGUUUCGCUGUUUCUGCCCGGAAAACUCAGUCGAACCUUAUCAUUUAGAGGAAGGAGAAGUCGUAACA